rnacentral:lncRNA from 1 species
CUUUCUUGGCUGAUCCCUUACGCUGUAUGGCGUGCUCGUUUGGGUUGGGCAUCGGCUAAGAGUGCUCGGAGCGUGGAUUAACUCCAGUCUCCUAUCAGGUGUGCAUUUUCUCGCCACUCUAGCUGUAGGAUGGCUACUUCGGGCCGCGAUGAGCCGAAAGGGGCUAUAUGGGCCCAAUGGGCUUACAGGCCCACUCUAGCUGUAGUAAAUAUUGAACUAGGCUAAGUGAAUCUCAUAUUUGUGGCUAGAUUUGGGCUAAAAGGGCCACACGAGUGUGUGGGCCCAUUUGGGCUGAGAAUGGGCUUUAGGGCCAUUCAUAUUGUUAUCCCUGUUUAGAAUACUUUAGUUUACCAAAUUACUAAAAUACCCUCGACUUGUAAAAUUACCAAAGUACCCCCGAUUUAUAAAAUUACUAAAAUACUCCUGUAAGAUAGAAUUAUCGUUUUACCCUUGAUUUAUAGAAUUAUCGUUUUACUCUCGAUUUACAGAAUUACCAUUUUACCCUCGAUUUAUAGAAUUAUCAUUUUACUCUCGAUUUAUAGAAUUACCAUUUUACCCUCAAUUUACAAAAUUAUCGUUUUACCCUCAGUUUACAAAAUUACCGUUUUACCCUCAGUUUAUAAAAUUAUCAUUUUACCCUCGAUUGUGAAAUUACUUAAAUACCCCUGUAGGAUAGAGUUACCAAAAUACCCCUAGUUUGUAAAAUUACUAAAAUACCUUAGUUUGUAAAAUUACCGAAAUACCACUGGUUUGUGAAAUUACAUAAAUACCCUCAAUUUGUAAAAUUACAAAAAUACCCCUGAUUUACAAAAUUACAAAAAUACCAUUGACUUUCUAAAAAUUAUAAAAAUACCAUUGGUUUACAAAAUUACUGAAAUACCCUUAGUUUGUAGAUUUACCAAAACACCCUUGUAGGAUGAAAUUACUAAAAUACCCCUAAUAGGUAAAAAGAUCGUAAAACCCCAUGUAGGGUAAAGUAACCGUAAUACCCUUGUAUGGUAAAAUGACAAAUAUGCCCUUAUGUUUCGUAUGACUGAUGUACUUAGGAUUUACAUAUAUUGAUAUUGGAUUAGUUAAGUUUGAGUGAUAGGUGGUGGUUAUCGUAGGUGAUUGAUUAUGGAAACGUUUCAACUUCAACCCAUAACAGGUGUGUACUAACCGUCGUAAUGCUUAGAUUAAUAUCUGUUGAGAAGCCAAAAUGCUAAAAUACCGGCAUUUCGGGAACUUGUAAUGUUGCGUGUGGGUAUAGAUGCGAUAAAUACGAUAAGAUCGGUGUUUGGAUCGAUAGAACAUGUAAGAACUUAAUUUUGUGCACGAUGGUAAGUUGGGCCUUAAUGGGCAAUAAUUGGGCCAAAUGGGCUUUUGGGCCCAUUUGGGUAAAAUUGAUAGAAAAUGGAAUUUGGAAAAGUUGCAUGUUAACACGGUUAGUAUUGUUGUAAAACUUGGGUUAGUGGGCUAAAUCAGCAUUCGUAGGGCCCAUUAGGGGUUUUGGGCCCAAAAGCCCGAAUUUGAUAAGUGGGUUAAAGAUCAUUGUUUAAACACUCAGAAAUAUUGACAAUUGUAAUGAACAUGGAAAACCCUGAUUUUUAGUAAAAUUACAAAAAUACCCUUAUAAUAUGAAAAAUGACUGUUUUGCCCUUAUAGGUAAGUGACUGACUUGGACUGUGUGGUUGACGGAUUUGAUUGUGAAUAUAUGUUGGUGAUAUGAAUGACUUGACUGUGAUUGUUUGAUUCAAAUAUGGGCAUGACAUUCUGCAUACUUGACAUGUUGCAUGGGUUAGGUUUUAUAAAUGGAGGAAGUGCUAAAAGGGCUAUGCCCCAGUUUACCGAAAAGGGCUUUGCCCCAGUUUAUCAAAAAGGGCUUUGCCCCAGUUAUUAAAAGAGGCUAGGCCUCCAGUUAUAUGAUAAAGCAGCUAUGUUGCCAGUGGAGAGUUUGGUUGGGUGGGUUGAGUUAUUCCCCACAUGGUGUGUUGGUUGGUACGGGUGGAGAGUAGCGGAUGGUGGGUCGAGUAGUCUCCCCAAAUGGGUUUGCAUACAUUCAUUGACAUUACAUGUGAUAUUGAAAUGGGCUUGCAUAAAUUCAUUGACUUUACAUGUGAUAUUGAAAUGGGCCUAAGGGCCAUACCGUUUACAGUAAAGGCUUCGGCCCAGUGAUAUGAUUUAUGAAAAGGCUUUGGCCCAGUGAUAUGAUUUAUGAAAAGGCUUCGGCCCAGUGAUAUGAUUUAUUGGGAUUACACACUGAGUUUUCGUAAACUCACCCUGAUUCUAACUGUGCAGGUAAUCCCUAAGCUUAGAUGGUUUGGAGCUGCAAGGGACUCAGAGAUGGCCACACUACUGUUUCUGUUUCUUUUAAUUGCAAUAAUUAGCUGAUUUAUUUCUUUAUAAGUUUUAUCUUAUUAAUAUUAUUAUUUGGUUUUGGGUUGUAAUAAGGCCAUUUUAAUUUUUUUCUGGGAUUAUUUUAUCUUAUACCCUAUA